rnacentral:rRNA from 1 species
UGAUAUUUAAUUCGAUAAUCCGCGAAUAACCUUACCACAGUUUGAAUAACAUUUAUUGUUACAAGCGCUGCACGGCUGUCUAUAGUUAAUGUCGUGAGAUUUGGUUAGCUCCUAAAAUUAACGGAAACCCUUACUUUAUUUUAGAAAGUAGAAGCAUUUUGAUAUAAUACAUAUAUUUUUAUAUACGUCUAAAUAUAUGUAUAAUCCUCCUCUCCUAAAGAGGGGGGUAUUUUAUCUGCUCCCUAAAGGGGUGGGUAAAGUAGGAUGUGUAUACAAUACAUAAAGUUGUUCACCAAUAUAUUGGUUUGGUAAUAGGGAUUAAGACAAGUCAUCAUGGCCUAAAUACUGUGGGCAAUAGACGUGCCACAUACGCCUUUACAAAGGGAUGCGAAAUUGCGAAAUGGAGCUAAUCCCCAAAAUUGGAUAUAAUAUGGAUUGUAGUCUGUAACUCGACUGCAUGAAUAAGGAAUUACUAGUAAUCGUGAAUCACCAACGUCACGGUGAAUCAAUGACUAUAUGUCAUCGAAGGUUCGAUUCCUUUCCUU